AAGUAGGAAAGCUUUGGGUAUUGAUCACCAGGGAGCUACGAGUUGCUACGCUCCUGAUUUGGCUAGGUUAGGUUCGCUAAAAACCUAACCUAGCGAAAUUGCUGUAAUAUGCAUUUUGUUUAGCAAAAUUGUAGUUUAUUUAUUUAAUUCAUAAUGAUUUUUGUAAUGCGAGAAUCAAAUUAAAGCAUGUUCAAUUUUGAGGUUAAUUUAGUAUUGUAUAAUAAUAAUGUAUAAUAAUACAUAAUUAUAUUGUAUAAUAAUAAUGUAUAAUACUUUAGUAUUGUAUAAUAGUAUUUAGUAAUUGGUGUUCAUAAAUGAAUACUGAUUUAGUAUUUUCUCAGGUAUCUAUUUGGACUAAUAACUUCUUUUAAACGAUAGGGCCUGCUGCAGAUAAUUGUUUCGCAUACUCUGUUAUAAUAUUACUUCAAUUUAAAUGUAUUACAAAUUUCCAUAUUCAUUGAACUUUAAUGUAAAUUAUUCCAUAGGAAGCUUAAAUACACAUUUUUCAUCAAUAAACACAUGUUAUCGACACCAAUUAUUGAAAUACAUGUAACUAUCUUUAUACCAUACAAAUAUAUCUACUACGGCACUCUUAUUUAUCCCUUCAGGGGCUGUAGCUAUGUUCAAUCAUAGCUGCAGUACGGGUUUGGCAAUCCCGAUGUACCCAAACUAACUGUAUGAAUGGGAGGAGUCUCAAAUAUGUAUGUAUAAGUUUCCGUAAUACAAGGGCUCCCUUUAUGAUAAUAAUAUUAAGGAGUAUUUAUUGCUACCAUGGCCAAUAUUACUACUGCCAUGAUCUGGAAUACCUUCGUACCAGUAAUACUUUCAAUAUUGCAAUUAUUACUUACAAUAGCACAGUAGUAUAUUAUUUAAAAUUAGAGUAUUUAUAUGAGUUUGCGUAAUACAAAGGCUCCCUUUGCAAUAAUAAUAUUAAGGAGUAUUUGUUGCUACCGUAGCCAAUAUUACUACUGCCAUGAUCUGGAAUACCUUCAUACCAGUAAUACUUUCAAUAUUGCAAUUAUUACUUACAAAAUGACAGUAAUAUAUUAUUUAAAAUUAGAGUCCCAGAAUUGGACGACCUGAAAAAUGGUUCCUUAUUGGUCACAACUUCUACGCCAUCAUCCCUUGAGGCGUGGGGGCCGUUAUUAACCGCGACGCUUCCGUCCUGCAACAUAUUACAUUGACCCUGUAACACACAUAAGUCCCAAGGGAAGAGCCCAAAGAAAGGGCGUGGAAGUUGCGAUCAAAGGAGGAGAAACAGGUUUCCCUUUAUUCGCAGGCCGUCGACUCCCUGGUCGAUGCUCCUACGGCAAUGUGGUUCAACGACUUUCCUGCCCGUACAAAAUACACCAACCUUAGGCAUUUCUUCGACCUUCCAGAUUACAUCACGGUCCUGUAAUCGCUCCACGAGACUGGACGUUUCUUCAGGAGGAAAGAUACCUGAGUUGAGUCCAUCGACUCCAUUGUGUGAAUGUUGUUAAACUUGGGUAAUGUUGGUUUUAUGAGAAAAAUUAAUUUGUUUAAUGAAUUUUAGGAUUGGCUGUGUCCUUCUGUGAAUGAUGCAUUGUUUAUUUCAGAUUGCAAUGAUGCAAUUAGAAUGUAGGUAAAGGAGGACUGUCCAUAGACGUAGGAUUGGAACAAUUGGAAAGAUUCUGGCAAUUUGGAAAGAUACCUGAGUUGAGUCCAUCGACUCCAUUGAUUGGCUGUGUCCUUGUGUGAAUGAUGCAUUGUUUAUUUCAGAUUGCAAUGAUGCAAUUAGAAUGUAGGCCCAUCUGACGUUACAAAGGAAGCUCCGUUACGGUUCGGUCCAGAGGCUAUUUCUGGCCGUUAACUCGCAGGAGAGAUGAAGAAAUAGAUGAAGAGGUAAAAAGAAAUGCCUCGAAUGUGCACAUUAGGCGCGGCAAGAAAAGAGCAGCGACGGAACAGGUGCCUCGCAGGAAACUCGGCAUUGUCGGGGCUCCAAGGACACGCCGUUAUAAAAACUCUUCCAUCCCAUUCGAGCUAGCAUAAAAAAAGGGCCCCGUAGGGAAAAGGCGCGGGAGAGAGGCAGGGACAGAGGAGGGAUGACCUUGGAGGGUAGGGUUGUCCAACAUAGUGCGCAUAGAUGCGUAAAUUAUGCGCCACUUUCUAGGCGGAGCCCGAACACUGGUAUAUUUUCAGGCUUCUACAUUGCUGGAAAACCGCUUUGGAAUCUCUUUAAUAAAUAGACUAGGGAUAUUUAUGCAGAAUAAAUUAUCGUGGGCUUAC